rnacentral:lncRNA from 1 species
CGUGGAUGAUAUGCUAGUGAAAAGCUUAGAGGCAGAAAGCCACGUAUCGCACCUCAACAACACCUUCCAAAUCCUGAGAAGGUACAGGAUGAGGCUCAACCCCUUGAAAUGUGCCUUCGGGGUGGCUUCCGGCAAGUUCUUAGGGUACAUGGUUAACCAGCGAGGAAUUGAAGCAAAUCCCGAAAAAAUUGAGGCUCUGUGCCAGAUGAGGUCCCCCCAAAAGCCAAAGGAGGUGCAAAGCUUAACUGGGCGAGUGGCAGCACUUAGUCGCUUCGUCUCCAAAGCAACUGACAAGUGCCUCCCAUUUUUCAAAGUGCUCAAGGCUGGGAAGAAAUUCCAAUGGACUGAGGAAUGCGAAGAGGCCUUCCAAGGAUUAAAAAGGCACUUGGGGCAGG